GUAGGGAAUAUUGGGCAAUGGAUGAAAGUCUGACCCAGCCAUGCCGCGUGCCGGAUGAAGGCGCUCAGCGUUGUAAACGGCUUUUAUUCGGGAAGAAGAGCAGGGAUGCGUCCCUGUGUGACGGUACCGAAUGAAUAAGCACCGGCUAACUCCGUGCCAGCAGCCGCGGUAAUACGGAGGGUGCGAGCGUUGUCCGGAUUUAUUGGGUUUAAAGGGUGCGUAGGUGGCCAAAUAAGUCAGUGGUGAAAUACGGUUGCUCAACAAUCGAGGUGCCAUUGAUACUGCUUGGCUUGAAAUAAUUGGAGGCUGCCGGAAUGGAUGGUGUAGCGGUGAAAUGCAUAGAUAUCAUCCAGAACACCGAUUGCGAAGGCAGGUGGCUACGAUUUAUUUGACACUGAGGCACGAAAGCAUGGGGAGCAAACAGGAUUAGAAACCCGUGUAGUCC
rnacentral:rRNA from 1 species